rnacentral:lncRNA from 1 species
CCGCUGCCAUCUCCGUGCGCUGGAGACACUGGCGGAGACGACGUGGCGCGCGGUCACUCGAUAGGGGGCGCUGUCCGAGACCGGCAACUCGGGCCAGCGGUGGGCGUGUCCCUUUCCGAGACUGCGAGGACACUCGCCACCUCCGGUCCCCGCCGCACGUGACUGCGUUUUGCUCUUUUGUUUUUCAUGCCAUUCCCAAGAAGCAAGGUCACUAAAAGCUCCUGGAAACGCCGAAGCCGACUGUCCCCAUCACAAGCGCGCGCAACCCCGGCCCACCCACGUGUCCUAAAGGUGUGGUCACAGGUCCCUUAGUCAGUUGUGUCGCCCACUUCGGCCGGGCCGCCUUUUGACACGGAGCAGCAGCCUGGUCCCCUGUGCUCUGCGUGCGCCACCCUGCGCUUUGCCAAGACACUGGUCCUGUGGAGGACAGCGGCCGCCGCAGCUCUGGACACAGCUGUCCAGUGGGACUCCUGCCCGGCGUCCCUCCUGUGGUUGCAGGCGGCAUCCUCUCGGAAUUCCUUAUUUCCACCCUGACCCCCUCUCCGAACUCGGGAACUUCAACACAGCGGGACACCUUCCCCACAGUGACUCAGGACCACCUCACCAAACUUGAUGGCAGCAGUUUGAUGGCAGAGUCUCAAGUUGCUGGAGCUCAAAGGGACCUUGGAUUUUUCUGACAGCAACAGUCUUAUUUUUCCAGGUGGGCACGCAGGCCACCUCAGUGCCUCCAUUUCUUAAUCACUAAUCACUAAAAUUACAAAUAAUAAUGUCUCCCUGCUGCCAGCCCCACCAAUGCCUGGGGCUCUUUUACACACAUUAUCUGUAAUCCUCAC